AAUACCUCCUUGUUCGGCCUUCAACUACAGUUAAAAAUCAUCAACUCAACAAGACUCUUCACGCUUGCACGCUUGCGCUUCUCAUUUACGUUGAUUUGCACUUCUCAUUCCUCAAAUCUUUCCCAGCUUUUUAAGCCGAUUUCAGUUUCAAUUUAUUGAGCCAAAAACAAUUGUCACACCAGGCAUCUUGCAAAGCUUCAGUUGAAAGCAACUACUGCAAAUAUGACAAUCAAAUGCUUCAGUUGUUCACAUCAUCUUUUUACCUUGCAGCCUUGGUAGCUU